ACUGAAUUUAACUGCAAAACUUUUUUUUUUUUCAAUUUCUUCCUAAAUAAACUUAACUUAAACUUAUAAUUAAUUUUAACUUCCUAUUUAAUUGUAAACCUAAUUCUAUUUGGCUUGGAAUUCCAACAAUAUUCAAUUCUUUGAUUCUUUCCAGCUAAUCUGUAAAUUCUCACAUCCAAGACCACCAACUUAUGUUGAGCAG
rnacentral:misc_RNA from 1 species